rnacentral:lncRNA from 1 species
AACUAACCUUUUAGACUAUUGCUUCUUGUCUUCAAGUAUAUUUAAUUAAAUUUCUGUUCUACUUCUGGAGCACGUUGACCGGAAGUAGAUGGACAUACGGCAUUUUCUAUUCAUUAAAUCUAGUGGUCAACUUAAGCCAAUGCUGUCCUUGGGUUCAAAGUUAAUUCGAAGAUCUCGGUGUUUAUCUCCUCACUUACGUAAUAAACUUGUUGUUUUUCACGGUGUUUGAUUCCAUUGUUUUAAAAAGUAUAAAUACUGGAGUGUUUGCUACAUCUAGGAGUUGCUGCAUUGAGCCGGCUUGCAUCAAGCCACCCUCAAACCCUCCAGACUGUAUCAGUCUAAUUGGGCCGAACACGUUUUUGUGUACAAACACUCCAGUGUCCUUGACCUUUAAGGUAUGUAAUUAUUGAUAGUUAAAUGUGAGGGACCGUCUCCGGAUACAUAGGUAUGCUUUUCCGGCGCUAACUUUAAAUAAAGUCCGUUUAACAUAGAAAUAGGUGGUUAUUAUUAAUUUAAGGAUAAGUUGGGUGGAAUUAUAUUCAUAAAGUGAAUUUGUGGAUAAAUAAAGUUUAACAUA